rnacentral:piRNA from 1 species
UAUUGAUCUUCUAAACGUUUG